AUGGCGGAUACCAACGGCAACGGCAACGGCAACGGGGCCGCGAGCAGCGUGACGGCGCCGCUGAUGCUCCACGGGCGCGUGGCGAUCGUCGGGGGCCCGGCGCCGGCCAAGGAGGUCGUGGCCGGCAUCAACGCCGCCCACGGCGACGGCCAUGCCAUCGCGCCGGCGCUGGCGGAGACGAGCGAGGCGACGUACGACGCCGCGUUCGGCGUCAACGCGCGGGGCACCUUCCUGUGCCUCCGGGAGGCGGCCAACCGGCUGGCGCGCGACGGGCGGGGCCGCAUCGUCACCUUCUCGUCGUCGGGGGUCGGGUCGCUGCGGCCCGGCUACGCGGCGUACGCGGCCAGCAAGGCGGCGGUGGAGACGAUGACGAGGAUCCUGGCCAAGGAGCUGCGGGGCACGGGGAUCACCGCCAACGCCGUGGCGCCGGGGUCCACGGCCACCCCGAUGUUCUACAACGGGAAGACGGAGGAGGAGGCGGCGCGGUACAUCGCCGAGGCGCCGCUGGGGCGGCUCGGGCUGCCGGAGGACAUCGCGCCGCUCGUCGGGUUCCUCGCCAGCGACGCCGGCGGGUGGGUCAACGGCCAGGUGCUGCGCUGCAACGGGGGCACCAUAUAG
rnacentral:rRNA from 1 species